GCCCAGGUAUAAUAAACACUAAAGGGGGAAAAAUUGAAAAGAGCUGCCACUGGUCAACACAGAAGGGCAGUUCCAGCUUAGGUUGGUGUCUUUCUUUUUCUUCCAAUUUUUAGUUUGUAUUCAUAAGUGGUUUUUAAAAGCCUUUUUUAAAGUGUAAUUUGCAUGUUCUACUUUGAUUGUAUGUAAACAUAUUUUAGAACAAAAA
rnacentral:lncRNA from 1 species